rnacentral:rRNA from 1 species
CCUACGGGAGGCAGCAGUGGGGAAUAUUGGGCAAUGGAGGAAACUCUGACCCAGCGACGCCGCGUGCGGGAUGAAGGCCUUCGGGUUGUAAACCGCUUUCAGUAGGGAAGAAGCGAAAGUGACGGUACCUACAAAAGAAGCACCGGCUAACUAUGUGCCAGCAGCCGCGGUAAUACAUAGGGUGCAAGCGUUGUCCGGAAUUAUUGGGCGUAAAGAGCUCGUAGGUCGUUUGUUACGUCGGAUGUGAAAACCUGAGGCUCAACCUCAGGCCUGCAUUCGAUACGGGCAAACUAGAGUUUGGUAGGGGAGACUGGAAUUCCUGGUGUAGCGGUGGAAUGCGCAGAUAUCAGGAGGAACACCAAUGGCGAAGGCAGGUCUCUGGGCCAAUACUGACACUGAGGAGCGAAAGUCUGGGGAGCGAACAGGAUUAGAUACCCUGGUAGUCCAGACCGUAAACGGUGGGCACUAGUUGUGGGAACCUUCCACGGUUUCUGCGACGCNGCUACGCAUAGUGCCCGCCGUCGGGAGGUACGAGUCGCGAGAAGUAAACUACGAAAGAAGUAGUAACGGUCGUGAGAGUGCCGACGGACGACGACGAGGGAGGAGG